GUAAGGAAUAUUGGACAAUGGUCGCAAGACUGAUCCAGCCAUGCCGCGUGAAGGAUGAAGGCCCUAUGGGUUGUAAACUUCUUUUGUAUGGGAAAAAACCUCUCUACGUGUAGAGAGCUGAUUGUACCAUAAGAAUAAGGAUCGGCUAACUCCGUGCCAGCAGCCGCGGUAAUACGGAGGAUCCAAGCGUUAUCCGGAUUCAUUGGGUUUAAAGGGUGCGUAGGCGGAAUGAUAAGUCAGUGGUGAAAGCCUGCAGCUUAACUGCAGAACUGCCAUUGAUACUGUCAAUCUUGAGUACAUUUGAUGUGGGCGGAAUGUGUCAUGUAGCGGUGAAAUGCUUAGAUAUGACACAGAACACCGAUUGCGAAGGCAGCUCACAAAACUGUAACUGACGCUGAGGCACGAAAGCGUGGGUAUCAAACAGGAUUAGAUACCCUGGUAGUCC
rnacentral:rRNA from 1 species